rnacentral:rRNA from 1 species
UACGGAGGGUGCGAGCGUUGUCCGGAAUCACUGGGCGUAAAGGGCGCGUAGGUAGCGCGGGCAGUCAACGGUGAAAGUUCGGGGCUCAACCCUGAAUCGGCCGUCGAUACUCCCGUGCUUGAGCACUGUAGAGGCAGAUGGAAUUCCGGGUGUAGCGGUGGAAUGCGUAGAGAUCCGGAAGAACACCGGUGGCGAAGGCGGUCUGCUGGGCAGUAGCUGACACUGAGGCGCGACAGCGUGGGGAGCAAACAGG